rnacentral:tRNA from 1 species
GGUCUUAUAUUCAUUUAAUGAUUUUAAAUUGCAAAUUUAAAGGUGUAUUUUUAUUACUAAGAUUU